AAGUAUUGUGAAGGUCUAUUUCUAAAUUAUAAUGAGAAGCUUAAAAAAUUCGUAUUUAUCUGUCCCAAAUAGUAAUUACUGCUGUUCAGCAUCAGCCUAGAGCUUCAUAUAUACCUGUGAAAUUCCUUCCGAGGAAAACUUGACUUACCCCAAUCCCAAACACAUAAGUAAAAGAAGCUAGCUAACAUCCAUCAUAUCUGCUAGACACAUCACAAGUGCCAGGUGUAGGAGGCAUCAAGAAAGGUCUUGAGACAAUAGCGUGUCAUGCAUUUCCAACAUAUCACUCGAUCACCUACUUGACUACACUUCAGACCUCAUCCUCAAUUGACUUGUCCAGGGUAUACAUGAACAGAGCAUACCACAUCUACUGCCUGCAUGCACAGAACAUCAUUCUUGCCUCACCUUGAGUCGAAGUACCAGUAGUGGGUUUGUGUUGUGUACUGCUUGCGCUAACAUGGAGAGAGCAACAUGUUACAGUCGAGUUGGUACUGACGGUUCACUGGUACCUGAAUGUUACAGUCGAGUUGGUACUGCAGACCAUGGAUCAGUACUUUUACCUAGCUGGUUUGAUAUGGAUAAUGGAUGCAAAAGCAAUACUAUCUACUCCCUCCGUCCCGUUAUUAUAUUUGACAUUUCCGACCAGAUCGUGAAAAUUAAGGAACGUGUGAAAUUACAUAUUUGCCCCUGGGCCUUCUCCUCUCAACACGUGAGUCGCCGCUGUGACGGAAGAAAGAGGCGGAAACGCCGCCACCCCCCAACGCCGGAAACGCCGGCCGCUACGCCAGCCGCCGGGGCUCACCUCAAGAUGCCGCCGCCACCCGUACUUGCUGGAACCGUCGCCGCCACCCCUCCUUGCCGGAGCCGCCGGCGCUCUCUCCCGACGCUGCUGCUCAUAAUUGGGCACCCCAGGCCUGAGACCCAGCAGAAUUUUUAGAUAAAAUUUUACAACACUCGUAGUUCAGGCAUGCUGCAGCUGCUGCAUCUGCCAAAUUGUGCUUAUCCUGUGUAAGAAAUAGCUAUAGAUUGACUCGGCCGGGCAGUAGUACACUAGUUUAUCAAAUUUCAACGUCCAAUCUUCUGGGAAAAGAAGAUUCAGACCAUCUUUGCCAGAAGAAGUGUAUUCAUCAUCUAAUGCAACAGGACAGUAACUCCUGAGCUAUGCAAACAGGUGAGUUAUAUAAUGCUCAGACAGACAAAGAUCAUCUUAUGUUGAAUUUGGCUCAGUAAUUUUUAGUGGGCAGAUAUGCUCGGACAGACAAAGAAAGGCUGACAGUGUCUUCAGACUUGUUCAGUUGCAGUUCAACUGGAAGAGUAUGUACUGAGUGUACUCAGUUCUUGAGUUUCAUUUUAUUUACAAAAUCUGGAUUAAUCCUUCAGUAGAAACCCUGUUUGCCGCUGGGCUGCUUGAACCUUCUUGGCUUCAUCUCCUAGUAGAGCAAUAUUUUGUGCAUCAUUGCUGUGAGGUGAUAAUAGGACUGAAAAGUGACAAUAUGGUCAGAUUUUGUGAGGUGAUAAUAGGCUUGAAAAGUGAAAAUAUGGUCAGAUUUUGUGGAUGUUGAAAUUCAGAUUUUGUGAUAAUGUAGGAGAGGAAGAAUCCAAGAGCAAUUAGGAUGUGACUUUCAGACCUACAUUCAGAUUUUGUAAAUGUACUGUUCAUUUUUAAAUCUUGAAUUACUUUAGUUUUUUUGUCCUCUUAGCAGAAUUUAUGACAGAUCUUAUGAAUUCAGCAUUUCACUGUGAAUUCGCAUGACAGUAGCAGCAUUCCUUGCUAAAACCUUAGGUUGCAGCUUCAUCAAAGCAAACAACUACCAUUCUCAGGCAAACAAAGGUCUGAAGAACUCAUUAUCUCACAACCAACCUACAUUUCCUUUUGUCAUUUCUGAAC